UGGGGAAUAUUGCACAAUGGGGGAAACCCUGAUGCAGCGACGCCGCGUGGAGGAAGAAGGUCUUCGGAUUGUAAACUCCUGUUGUUGGGGAAGAUAAUGACGGUACCCAACAAGGAAGUGACGGCUAACUACGUGCCAGCAGCCGCGGUAAAACGUAGGUCACAAGCGUUGUCCGGAAUUACUGGGUGUAAAGGGAGCGCAGGCGGGAAGACAAGUUGGAAGUGAAAUCUAUGGGCUCAACCCAUAAACUGCUUUUCAAAACUGUUUUUCUUGAGUAGUGCAGAGGUAGGCGGAAUUCCCGGUGUAGCGGUGGAAUGCGUAGAUAUCGGGAGGAACACCAGUGGCGAAGGCGGCCUACUGGGCACCAACUGACGCUGAGGCUCGAAAGUGUGGGUAGCAAACAGGAUUAGAUACCCUGGU
rnacentral:rRNA from 1 species